AGCCCUGGAAUCAUGGUCUAGGAUGCCAGAGAAAGAAUGGAGAGGGAUCCCCAAGACUUCUGGGAUUUUGUACAAGAGCAAAGGCUGAGGAGUAGGAAAUCAAGUGUGAAAUCCUCUCAACACUGUUGAAUCUGGACGCCACCCUAAGAAUGUCCCACUUUGCUAAUUGGAAGGUGUCCCAAGUAAGCAAAAGCUUGACACCUUGUGACAAUGUCAGAGUUCCCCACGAGAGGAAGAAGGAGAACAGGAAGCUAGCGGACCUGCCAGCAGACCAGCCCCUAUCCGAUGAGCAGACGCUGCAGAGGGGAGAAGGUGCCCGGAUCGCAAAGAACAAAGCCAGAGCCACAGCACAUGACGGGGCUACCAAGGAAGGCCCGUCUCUCGGCCAGACAGGACCGCGGAACGACGCCAAGGACUGGAAGCUGCCGAUCCCCCUGGGAUCUGUUUACCCACCAUCAGUCUCGAGUCUGAGCACCACCAAAGCUGUGGGCUGAAGCUGGGAUUUGCCUCCUCCCAUAGCAAAGAGCUUACGAAUAUGUGACGGCCCCUUCCAGCACUCCAUGGACAUGAAGGCAGAGAAGAGACUGGCCAGCCGGAAGGAGCGUCGUAGCAACUUUGGAGAUGUCAGCACGCACAAGUGCUAUCAGCUUGGGCAGAUCUUCAGCCCUUUCCAGGCCCUCAGCACCACGGAGAUGCGAACACUGGUAUUUCCCCGAGACCUGCCCAUGAGUCGGCGCAUGCAGAGAAAGGGCAUCGUGUGGCCCGCUGAUGGGAAUCACCACGAUUUCUCCCUGUCUUCCAUGGAGCUGGGCUCCAGAAAGGAUGGCGACAGCCACUCAAAAGAGAAGCCCGCAAGUCACAUUAAAAUGCCUUUAUUCCCCCCGGUAGUUAAAGCAACAAAAUCUAAUGACGUGAAAUAAUAAAAGUUUCAAAACUGCAA